rnacentral:rRNA from 1 species
CCUACGGGAGGCAGCAGUGGGGAAUAUUGGGCAAUGGAGGCAACUCUGACCCAGCAACGCCGCGUGAAUGAUGAAGGUCUUCGGAUUGGAAAGUUCUGUUAUGGGGGAUGAACACAAAGACGGUACCCCAAUAGCAAGCCACGGCUAACUACGUGCAAGCAGCCGCGGUAAUACGGCGGUGGCAAGAGUUCUCCGGAAUGACUGGGCGUAAAGGGUGCGUAGGUGGUUUAGUAAGUUGGCGGGGUAAUUCCGGGGCUCAACCUCGGCGCUACCGCCAAAACUAUUAGACUUGAGAGAUCGAGAGGCAGGCGGAAUUCGGUGUGUAGCGGUGAAAUGCGUAGAUAUACGGAGGAACACC